rnacentral:rRNA from 1 species
CCUACGGGAGGCAGCAGUGGGGAAUAUUGGACAAUGGGGGAAACCCUGAUCCAGCGAUGCCGCGUGUGUGAAGAAGGCCUGAGGGUUGUAAAGCACUUUCGGUGGGGAGGAGAGCUAAUUGGUUAAGAGCUAAUUAAGUUGGACGUUACCCAAGAUAAGAAGCACCGGCAAACUCCGUGCCAGCAGCCGCGGUAAUACGGAGGGUGCUAGCGUUAAUCGGAAUUACUGGGCGUAAAGAGUGCGUAGGUGGUUUAAUAAGUUAUGUGUGAAAUAUUUGGGCUUAACCUGAAAACUGCAGAUAAAACUGUUAGACUUGAGUAUGGGAGAGGAUAGUGGAAUUUCCGGUGUAGCGGUGAAAUGCGUAGAGAUCGGAAGGAACACCAGUGGCGAAGGCGGCUAUCUGGCCUAAUACUGACACUGAGGCACGAAAGCAUGGGUAGCGAACAGGAUUAGAUACCCCAGUAGUC